AAAGAAAAAAAAUAGUUGUGUAGAAGGCAAGUCUGUAAUAAUAACAUCUUGGCUGGUUUAUUUCAAGUAACAUUUUAAUUCUCAUUAAAUGCAAGUGCUAUGACUGCAAUUCAGCAUUACCAGUGAAGCAUAUUUUUGAUUCCUCUUACAAAGGAUAGUCUCUAGAAGUCCAAUUAAUUACAUUUAGUUGGGCACUUCUUAUAAAUUAUUUCAAGUAACAGGUUUCCUUCCAUUGCAUUACAGUAGAAACUCAACCCCCUGCUCCAUGAUUGUGUUUUUAAGCCAACGUUCUACCAUAGUGCUGGCAUAAUAAAGUCCCUGAUUGACAAACAUGAUGACCGGAUAAGGUGGCAGGGAAGUGGGAAGGUGACAAAAAGGUCAUAUGUUAUAGGAAAUACUCAUGACAAAUUGGCAAUUUUGGAUCACUUACAUUGGAAAAGGCCUCCGAGAUCAUCUCGUCCAACUUGUGUCCCAUUGUUUCAGCAAUCUAAUUGGUUUUAGAAGGACAAGUCCAGAUGUAUAUUUAAGCCUCACUGCUGCAACUGUCUGCCCACAAGGGCCAAGAGGCUUUUGCAUACAGUAAACUGCAGGACCAGAAGCUGAACUAAUCCUACACUCGUUUUCCUGCUUCACAGUAAAGCUGUUGAGAUAAAUACCACUUUGGAAGAGCCUAACAAGGGCUCUCAAUUUCUCUCAUUUGAAGACAUAACUCAUACGUAUAAGGAUAUGAAGAACAGUGCACAGACAGCCGCGUCUGUUACUUUUUUUAUAUAGUGCAUUCAGGCAGUGGCAUUUUCAGGCUUCUUGAUCACGUCUCUUCAAGUGGUGCGAUGUUCACUUAUGGCUCAAGUGGCUUUUCCAUCAUCUGCAACCCGAGUCGUCCAACCAUCAGUAAACUGGCACCGGCAAUGAGCCCAGGCAUUGCUUUUCUGGAGUUGUAAAAUCUCAUCCCCAUGACAGCAGACAAGGUUCCAGAUGCCACAAGAGAAAGCCACACGUUCUUCGGGUCUUUGGACUGGUUGUAGGCACCCAGCCCUGCCAGGCCACCAAAGAGGAGGCCGGCAGCGAGGGACGGGACGCUGCCUGCCCUGGCGUAGCCGAUGAUGCCCCCGGAGGCGACCAGCGCCGCGUACCCGAAGCCUACCCAGUCGUACUCCAUCUGCGGUGCCCCUCUGCCGGCCGCUGCACGGUGGGGGCCGUUGGCCAGCGGCCCGCUCCGACCUUGGCGCCGCGCUUCCCGGCGUGCCGCGGGGCGGAGCGGCGCCUCCCGGAGUUCCGG
rnacentral:lncRNA from 1 species